GACAGGUCAGAUUCUCUAAUUAAAUAAAUUUGUAUACUUCAAGAAAGACAAGUCAGAUUCUCUAAUUAAAUAAAUUUGUAUACUUCAAGAAAGACAAGUCAGAUUCUCUAAUGAACUAGUUGGCUAGAAACUUUUUUUUUCUUUGCUUAUAAAAUUAACAUUUUAAACUUUUUUGACUAGCUCUACUUUAGUAGUUAUUUUUACACUCACAGGGGAUUAUUGUUUAAAAAGAAAACUGCAAAGUUUAUUCUUUGUUUUUAUAUUUUAUUUAAAACCAAAAAAAAUAAAAAAUAGAUAAUUCAAAAAAUGCUGGUUAUGUUGAAUGUUUUAAACUUUUAUUGUAUACAUUAAUAAAAUCUCAUCAAAAUGUGUACAUUCUUUUUCCUUAUGUCAUCCAGAUCUCAGAUAUCUUAGAAGCUUGAUGCAAUUCAACACUAUGUACUGUUUUCAUAUUCAUUACAGACGGUCACUCAAAAGAGAGAUAAUUACUUCCUACGCACAUCCAUGUUUUUAAUAUUCAUAGCUUGUGCAUUAAGAUUUAAAAAAAAAUAAAGU